rnacentral:lncRNA from 1 species
CCCUGUUUGUGCUGGGACGCCUCCCUCUUCCCGCCCACGGCGACGCUGGCCUUGGGGCGCUGUUUCCGGGUCCUUCGGCAGGCCUGUUGAGACCCGCUGAGAGUGUGUUCACAUGUGUUUUAGGAUCAGAGGGCAUCCCGGCAUCUGUGGAAGUCUUCAUGCAGCUUCCCCCUGGAUCUGACCACGGAUUUUAUGAUGCAUUCUGCCCAGAAACUCAGCAGAAGUGGCCACUCCUUCCCUUUUGAGACUAACAGUGAGUGUUUAAAAGCCCCGGCGGGUUUUCCGGGGCUGCUGGGGGCUGGGACCGUGGGCAGGGCCGGAAGGACACAGUCGCUGGCCCGGAGGCGAGGUCGCCCUCUGCUGGCCUUCCUCCCUGGGGCAGCGGCGUGGGUGGGGCCCGGGGCUGCCGCCCCACCUUCUGGAAGCUGCCUG